UAGGGAAUCUUCCGCAAUGGACGCAAGUCUGACGGAGCAACGCCGCGUGAGUGAAGAAGGUUUUCGGAUCGUAAAACUCUGUUGUUAGAGAAGAACAAGUGCUAGAGUAACUGUUAGCGCCUUGACGGUAUCUAACCAGAAAGCCACGGCUAACUACGUGCCAGCAGCCGCGGUAAUACGUAGGUGGCAAGCGUUGUCCGGAUUUAUUGGGCGUAAAGCGAGCGCAGGCGGUUCCUUAAGUCUGAUGUGAAAGCCCCCGGCUCAACCGGGGAGGGUCAUUGGAAACUGGGGAACUUGAGUGCAGAAGAGGAGAGUGGAAUUCCAUGUGUAGCGGUGAAAUGCGUAGAUAUAUGGAGGAACACCAGUGGCGAAGGCGACUCUCUGGUCUGUAACUGACGCUGAGGCUCGAAAGCGUGGGUAGCAAACAGGAUUAGAUACCCUGGUAGUCCACGCCGUAAACGAUGAGUGCUAAGUGUUGGAGGGUUUCCGCCCUUCAGUGCUGUAGUUAACGCAUUAAGCACUCCGCCUGGGGAGUACGACCGCAAGGUUG
rnacentral:rRNA from 1 species